AACGAACGCUGGCGGCAUGCCUAACACAUGCAAGUCGAACGAGACCUUCGGGUCUAGUGGCGCCCGGGUGCGUAACGCGUGGGAACCUGCCCUUAGGUUCGGAAUAACUCCCCGAAAGGGGUGCUAAUACCGGAUAAUGUCUUCUGACCAAAGAUUUAUCGCCUUUGGAUGGGCCCGCGUUGGAUUAGCUGGUUGGUAGGGUAAAAGCCUACCAAGGCGAGAAUCCAUAGCUGGUCUGAGAGGAUGAUCAGCGACACUGGGACUAAGACACGGCCCAGAAUCUUACGCGAGGGGGGAGAGGGGGAUAGAGGAAAGCGGGGUGAAGGAUGAAGGAGUAAGGAUGGGAAAGCGAUGAAGGCAGGAGAGAAGAAAAGCGUAAGUAACCGGGAAGAUAAUGACAGUACCGGGAGAAAAAGCCCCGGCUAACUACGUG
rnacentral:rRNA from 1 species